rnacentral:rRNA from 2 species
CCAGUAACGGCGAGUGAAGCGGCAACAGCUCAAAUUUGAAAUCUGGCCCCCAGGGUCCGAGUUGUAAUUUGUAGAGGAUGCUUUUGGCGAGGUGCCUUCCGAGUUCCCUGGAACGGGACGCCACAGAGGGUGAGAGCCCCGUCUGGUCGGCCACCGAGCCUCUGUAAAGCUCCUUCGACGAGUCGAGUAGUUUGGGAAUGCUGCUCAAAAUGGGAGGUAUAUGUCUUCUAAAGCUAAAUACUGGCCAGAGACCGAUAGCGCACAAGUAGAGUGAUCGAAAGAUGAAAAGCACUUUGAAAAGAGGGUUAAAAAGUACGUGAAAUUGUUGAAAGGGAAGCGCCUAUGACCAGACUUGGGCCCGGUGAAUCAUCCAGCGUUCUCGCUGGUGCACUUCGCCGGGCACAGGCCAGCAUCAGUUUGGCGCGGGGGAAAAAGGCUCUGGGAAUGUGGCUCCCCCGGGAGUGUUAUAGCCCACCGCGUAAUACCCUGCGCCGGACUGAGGUACGCGCAUUCGCAAGGAUGCUGGCGUAAUGGUCAUCAGCGACCCGUCUUGAAACACGGACCAAGGAGUCGUCUUCGUAUGCGAGUGUUCGGGUGUCAAACCCCUACGCGUAAUGAAAGUGAACGUAGGUGAGAGCUUCGGCGCAUCACCGACCGAUCCUGAUGUUCUCGGAUGGAUUUGAGUAAGAGCAUACGGGGCCGGACCCGAAAGAAGGUGAACUAUGCCUGUAUAGGGUGAAGCCAGAGGAAACUCUGGUGGAGGCUCGCAGCGGUUCUGACGUGCGAAUCGAUCGUCAAAUAUGGGC